AGUAUAGACCCAUGAUGAAAGAUUUCAAAGGCAAUAGCCAUUGCUCCAAAAUAGCUUGGUUAAUGUUUGCAGACUGGUUCAGCUCUUUUCUCCCUCCUGCCUGUCAAAAAGGUGCUAUUCCUGUGAUUAAAACCAUUACAGUCCUUCAAAGGUUAUACAUGACUUUCAGGCUUCAGCCUCAAUAGCAGCAGAUCUGGCCUAGAUGCUGUGAUUGGAAAAGCCAUGCUGUAUAAUUUCACAAUAAUUACCUAUUGUAUUCCACUGCCUUGGCUGAGAGACAAAGGAAGAAAGAGAAGACCGUCGCUGAGGGACAUCUUGAGACUACCUGUGGCCAAAGUGAUGGAUGAGGCCCAUCCUUGGCCAAAGGGAAGCCACUUAGCAGAAUCUGGGAAUCACGUCCCUGUACACCAUGGUUCCUGAUGCUUGGUUUCCCUCUUCUUUCAUUCCUAUUAACCUAGAUGUCUCAUCUUUACCUUUCAGAUAAUUGGCUGAAUAUGUUGUCCUCGUAUCGAUAAUCUAUAUAAAACCAGCAAGCUAUGAGAUGAACAGCACACAGCAAACAACACAGCAAAGUGAUCUCUUUUUAGCACCGUGCCCUCAAAAUGUCAUCUCUGUAAGACAUAUGAGCUAAUCCACUUGUACUAUGUUUCUUAUCUUCCAUCGGUAAAUAUACCGGGUCACCAUUUAGCUGUGAUAAUACAUAGUUUCUGAAUGCUAUAACCUAAAGGAAGUUAAGUUGAUGCCAUCAAAACAUUUACUGUGGUGGUGUCAGGGUGUGAUAAACUCACCUAUCAAAUGCAGAAACGCUUGACACAAUUUCAAAACCACAAGUCUAGUCAACUGAUUUAAAAAUGAUUGAUUACGUAAAAUUAAUCAAACCAGUGAUUUUAUGGAAUUUAAGCAGACAGCACAGCUAACGAAAUUUAUAGGUUAUUCCCCUAUAAACAUUAAUGUAGCAAACCGUGUGCCCCUUCGUUUCUUCAAGAUCCAAAGUUUCCUUAACUAAGUGGAGGCUGCAGAAACUGGCUUUUUAUACAAUUAAUGUUCCACAACCAGAUGAGACUUUCUAACUGAAAAGGUUGGAACAUUUUCUAUCUUCUUCCAGCCAUAACUAUCACUGAAAUCUAUUGCAUUCAUGAUAUACUGUGGAUCAGAACAACAUACAAAGUUCCACACUCUCAGAGCCUGAUACAGAGGAAAUAGAAAGCUGUGAUUUACUCAGAGAAGUCCUAGGGAAACAAUUUCUCCUAAGGAAAUAUAUUUUUAAAAUCUUCCAUUAUAACUCAUCCAAAAAGAAGCUAUUGAGCACUGAACACUUUAUAACUCUAAAAUAUUAAUAUCUUUACCUAUAUUAUUUUACAUAAAUCUUUCAAGGCAGAUAAUAUCACCAUUUUCCAAACAAGGAGACUGAGGUUUAUAGAAAUUAAAUUAUUUUCUCAAGUGGUAGAGCCAAGAUUUGAAUCCAGGUCUAAAUCCUGCAUUUGUAUUGUAAUGGUUGUAAAAUUUGUGCCGGCAGAGCCACGUAAUUACUUAAUCUGGGCCGUGGUUUCCUCAUCUGUGAAGUGGAACUAACACUGGCACCUAACAGAGUUUCUGAACCUCAGCACGACUGACUGUGGGUUAGAUAACGCUUUGCUGGAGGGGCUGUCCUAUGCCCUGAAGGACAGGUAGCAGCAUCCCUGGGCUCUCCGCUCGCUAGAUGCCACUAGCUCAGCCCGCACAAUUGUGACAACCCAACCGAAAAUGGCUCCAGACAUUGCCUAAUGUCCCCUGGAGAGUAAAAUCACUGGUUGAGAACCACCGACCUAAAUUAAAGGAUAGCUGUGAAGAGCCCAUCAGUGAAUACAUACAAAGAGUCUCAGAGUAUGUCUGGCCCAGAAUAUUUAAUGUUAGAUAGGUUGGUGGUGAAGGAGAAGGAGGAGGGGAGGAGGGGGAAGAGAAGAAGUAGUAGCCAUAGUAGGGAGAGCAGGAGGGGGAGAGGAAGGCGGAGAAAAGGAAGAAGAAGAAAUAUACUUGCAUCUGACUGAAUUGUAUUGACGUUUUAUUCAGGCCUGACUGGGUGGAUAUAAUUGAAAAACUCAGAGUUGAUCAGAAAGAAAAUAAAAUUUAAAAAGACAGAUAAGGAAACUGAGGCACAGAUUUGAGGAAAUUGCC